CCGUGCUAGAUGGGGAGUCAGCGGUGCCCUGUAACCUGCAAUCCGCUAUAGCAGGGUCGAAGUCCUGGUUUAGGUUUUAGCCUGUAGGGUCUGCCCUAAGUAAGUGGUGUUGAGGGCUGGGUCCCACGCAAUGUAAGCCCGUGAAUCUCGUCAGGUCCGGAAGGAAGCAGCGAUAAGCGGUGUCUUGCAUGUGCCGUGGAUCAAUCUGGUCUGAGCUUACUGCUUAGGUAACGCCUAUAAGCUACUAUCGAUGCCAGGUGCACGG
rnacentral:SRP_RNA from 1 species